GACAGAGGCCCCGAGCGUUAGUCGGAAUUACUGGGCUUAAAGGGUGCGUAGGCGGGCGUGCGCGUGUUCUGUGAAAUCCCCGGGCUCAACCCGGGAACCGCAGGGCAUACGGCACGUCUCGAGGAAGCUAGAGGCCGGCGGAACGAUCGGUGGAGCGGUGGAAUGCGUAGAGAUCGAUCGGAACGCCAAGGGUGAAGACAGCCGGCUGGGGCUUUCCUGACGCUGAGGCACGAAAGCGCGGGGAUCAAACAGG
rnacentral:rRNA from 1 species